UUCCAGGAGAGUUUGAUCCUGGCUCAGGACGAACGCUGGCGGCGUGCCUAAUACAUGCAAGUCGUGCGGGGUCUUGAAGGGCUUGCCCUUUAA
rnacentral:rRNA from 1 species